rnacentral:rRNA from 1 species
CCGGAUUUAUUGGGCGUAAAGCGUGCGUAGACGGUUUAUUAAGUCCAGAAUUAAAGCCCGAGGCUUAACCUCGGUUCGUUCUGGAUACUGGUAGACUAGAGUAUGGUAGAGGCAAAUGGAAUUCCUAGUGUAGCGGUGGAAUGCGUAGAUAUUAGGAGGAACACCAGUGGCGAAGGCGGUUUGCUGGGCCAUUACUGACGUUGAGGUACGAAAGCGUGGGUAGCAAAUAGGAUUAGAUACCCUAGUAGUCCACGCUGUAAACGAUGAGCACUAAGUGUCGGGUUACCGGUGCUGAAGUUAACACAUUAAGUGCUCCGCCUGAGUAGUACGGUCGCAAGACUGAAACUCAAAGGAAUUGACGGGGACCCGCACAAGCGGUGGAGCAUGCCGUUUAAUUCGAAAAUACGCGAAAAACCUUACCUAGACUUGACAUCCCUGGCAAUGCUAUAGAAAUAUAGCGGAGGUUAUCCGGGUGACAGGUGGUGCAUGGUUGUCGUCAGCUCGUGUCGUGAGAUGUUCAGUUAAGUCUGCUAACGAGCGCAACCCUUGUCAAUAGUUGCUAACAUUUAGUUGAGAACUCUAUUGAGACUGCCGGUAUUAAACCGGAGGAAGGUGGGGAUGACGUCAAAUCAUCAUGCCCCUUACGUCUAGGGCAACAGGCGUGCUACAAUGGCUGGUACAAUGAGUCGCAAAACCGCGAGGUGGAGCUAAUCUCCAAAGCCAGUCUCAGUUCGGAUUGAAGUCUGCAACUCGACUUCAUGAAGCUGAAAUCGCUAGUAAUCCCGGAUCAGAAUGCCGGGGUGAAUACGUUCUCGGGUGUUGUACACACCGCCCGUCACGGCAUGGGAGUCAAUAAUAUCCGAAGCCGGUAGCCUAACCCGCAAGGGAGGGGGCCGUCGAAGAUAGGAUUGAUGACUGGGCUGAAGUCGUAACAAGGUAUCCCUACCGGAAGGUGGGGAUG